rnacentral:rRNA from 1 species
GACGAACGCUGGCGGCGUGCUUAACACAUGCAAGUCGAGCGGUAAGGCCCUUUCGGGGUACGACGAGCGGCGAACGGGUAGAGUAACACGUGGGUGGACCUCGCCCUCCAGCUCUGGGAGUAAGACCCGGGGAAACCGUAGGGUCGUAAUAACUGGAUAUGACUCCAUGACGCAUGUUGUGGGGUGGAAAGCCUUGUGCGGC